rnacentral:misc_RNA from 1 species
UAAUCAAAAUCGGAGCGAUGCUUUUUGGGUGACGCACCGGAGUUUGGGUCAUCUUAACUCUUUUUUUUAAGAGACCUAAAAUUAACAUUCUUUUUUGCUCACUUUUGAGACGUACAUAAUUUUUUUUAUUCGUCUACCCUGGUGGCAAAAAUUUUAUUAGAUCGUGAAUCACGUAGAGUGGACUCGCGUCUAUAAUUAUCAUG